rnacentral:lncRNA from 1 species
GGGGAGACGGGCCUCGCAGGGGGGCCCUCUGGCCAUUUCCCUGGACCGCAGUUACUAGGGUGCUCUGUCUUUGUGUAGAGCAUUCUCUAGCAAAAUGUCCAGGGUGUGUGGACCACCUGGGGAUCUCCAUUCCCACACACAGCAUCCUCUCCCACUGAGGCCAGACAUGGCAGUCCAUUAAGGGAACAGAUUCCAAAGAUAGGCAGCAGCUUUAUGGCCAGUCAGUGCUACAGUUAUUGGAGGACCCUCAUGAAGACUGAGCUGCAUAUCUGCUACCUACAUGUCAGGGGCCUUAGUCCAGCCUGUGUAUCCUAUUUGGAUGCAGUGACUUAUGAUGCUGUGCAUGUGAACUUUACUGGGGAAGAGUAGAAUUUGCUGGAUCCUUCCUAGAAGAGUCUCUACAAAGAUGUGAUGCAGGAAACCUACUUGGACCUCACUGUUAUAGGCCACACUUGGGAAGACUAUCAUAUUGAAGGACAUUGUCAAAGUUCCAGAAGACAUGAAAGGCAAUCUUCAUGUGCAAGCUGAUACACAUAGGCCUCUGAGGAAAUUUUAAUAUGUUCUGGAAGCUCUAAAGAAAAGCAAGAGUGCCGGGCAGUGGUGGAGGACACCUUUAAUCACAGCACUUGGGAGGAAGAAGCAGGCAGAUUUCUGAGUUCAAGACCAGCCUGGUCUACAGAACAUGUAAGACAUCGCAGAGGAGAGAAACCCUAUGAAUGUACUCAAUGUGGUAAAGCCUUUUCAUUUCCCAGUCAUCUCCAAUAUCAUAAAAGAAGACAUUCUGGAGAGAAGCCUUAUGAAUGUAAUCAAUGUGCUAAAGCCUUUGCAGAUCACACUGAGCUCCAAAGCCAUCAAAGAACACAUACUGGAGAGAAACCUUAAGAACACAAUCAAUGUGUAGAACCUAUUCACAAGGGAGACGUCUCCAAAGACAAAAGAAGACAUUCUGCAGAGAGACCUUAUGAAUAUAACCAAUGUGGUAAAAGCCUUUUCACAAAGUUCUUGUCUUUAAAAACAUAAAAGAACCCAUAUAGGACAGAAACUUUAUGAAUGUAAUCAAUGUGCUAAAGCUUUUGCAUAUCUCAGUAGUCUUCAAAACAUAAGCGAUCCCAUACUGGAAAGAAAUGUCAUGAAUGUAAUCAAUGUGUAAAGACCUUUUACAACUUUGUAGUCUCCAGUAGUAUAAAAAGAAUUUUUAAAAAAUCAGAUACAGGAGAGAAACCGUGUGAAUGUAAUCACUGCUGUAAACCCCUUUCCUGUUGCAGUUAUCUGCAACAACAUAAGAGAAUACAUACAAGAGAGAAACCUCAUGAAUGUUAUCAAUGUGGUAACGUCAUUUCAUGUCAUAGUUCUUUACACAUAUACAAGCACAUACUGUAGAGAAACUGCAUGAAUAUUAUGAAUGAGGUAAACCCUUUCCAGAACACAGUCAUCUCUGAAUACAUAAAAGAAAAUGUACAGGAGAGAAACCUUAUGAAAAAAAUAAAUGUGAUAAAGCCUUUGCCUAUCACAGUCAUCUCCAAAUACAUUAAUAAGCACAUAGUGGAAAGAAGCCCUAUGAUUGUAAUAAAUGUGUUAAAGUCUUUGC